AACUCCUCCCUCUCCCUCGGUCUCGCCUCUCCUAUGGUUCGCCGCCCGCCGCCGUACCCCGCCGCCCUGCUCCGCUGUUGCCCCUCCCUCCGCCUGCCUCGUCCCUGCUCUAGGGUUCGCCGCCCGCCGGAGCCCCCCGCCGCCCUGCUCCGCUGUUGCCCCUCCCUCCGCCUGCCUCUCCCCCUCCCCUACACUCACCCCUGCCCGAUCUGGAUCUGGAUGAGGCGUUGCCUCCCGUUCCUCUCAUCGCGUCCCUUCUGCCAGCCAUGGAAGAGGGGAGGAAGAAGCUUCUCUGUAGAAUCAGCCGAUCGAGCGGGCUCCUGAUGUUGGCUUGCGAGAAUGCGGCAGAUCUCGUCGAUGCUGCAGGGCCUGGCCCGUUCCAUGUCUCUGGGAAAGGAUAGGAAGAUGGAGGAGGAGCACCAGGGGACGGUGCUGCGGUCGUCGGGGACACUCUGGGGCGAGGGCUCCGAGACGUUCGCUGCCGCGUGCUGGACGUACAAGCACCAGCACCACCGCUGGCCGUUUCCUCCAUACUGACAGAUCGCCGUGUUGCUAUCCUUGUAUGUUGUAGCCAGGAGGAGAGGUAGGCGCGGUGCCGCUCAUGGCCGUGGCGUCGUGCUUGUGGUAGUGGUGAAUUGGAGAGAACGGCCUCCUAUCUAUGCACGUCCAUCUACUGCGGGCUUUCCCUCUUCCAGCAACAUCAUGUCUCAGUUUGCCGCCGCCAUUCAUCCGGAUGGCCCUGGACAUACAUACCAGCACCACACCCUUCCUCCUGUUGCUGGGGACGCAGCUAUCAUCGGUCCUCUGUUGUCAGCAGCCCGGACGUACAAGCCGUCGAAGCUGACGUUCCUUUGCACAGGCUGCACAGACGGGUGUACAAGUUGUUGCUUCUGUUCAUCCACGCGCCAGUGACUCACAUACGUUGCUAGCUUUUGUUACUUGGUCCAUCCCUAGGAAGCAAUAAGAUUACUUCGGUAUGCAUAUACACGUUGCUAGCUACGUGCAGGGUAUCUCAAGUUCACAAAUAUUUAUGAGAUUGUUUUACUAGCUUUUGUUAUUAUUUGGCCCUUUAGUAUGCAGAUUGAUCUCAACAUUCAUAAGAAUCUUCAAAAAAAAGGAGAUGAAAAUACUUCAAGUAGUUCUGAGUGGAGAUCAUUUGAUAGCAUUUUGUUGUAGCAUCUACAGAAGACCUUUUCAUUUCAUUUUACCGAGAAACGCUGGAGGGUUCAUGUUUUCCUUAUCCAGGACAUUUUGAAGGUUCCUGAUGCAUUCUUACAAGAAGCAACAAUCCAGAGGUUAGUCAAUCUUUGUCGGGAUUUUUCAUUUCUAAAGGUACACUAGCGACUAUUGUAUCAAUAUAAUCCUCCAUGCUAAAAACACUCAUUCUAGAUUGCGUGAGCUUGUCAUACCAUUUUUUGUAAAGACAAAAAAAUAAUUUAUACUCCACAACUUGAUGCAUUGUUGUUGCAUCAACAUUUCCGGAAUUAGCAAGUCAAUUUUUUAGGUGUAUGUUUGCUAAAUUGGUGAACACAGUUGGUCUCUUUAAUCAGGAAAAAAAUAGCAUGAUUCUCUAAGCUACAUGAAUUACUCUUCAGCGGCAUUUCAUAUCAGUGGUGUGUGACUUGCUAUACUGCCUAUGUGUGUGUAUUGAAGUUUUCUUCUUUUGAAUAUGUAGGUAAUUAGUGAAAUGAUAAGAGGGUCAAUUAAUGGUGUUCAAUUUUUCCUUCAAGCAAACAGUUUGUACCCAAAUACAAUACUAUUCAGUAUCAUCCUGAAACCAAUAUCUCAAAGAUUCAUUCUUUAUGAAUUCGAGCCUUGGCAAACCACUCCCAUUACAAGGUCCCAUAAACAUGCUGGUUUUGUAUGUCGAUAUUCAAAUUAAUUGGGCAAAAAAUAGAUAUAUUUACUCUGAUAUUUUUACAUAUUCAGGUGAAUAGCAUCCUGUUUUUACUUCAAAUAAUUAACAAAAAAUUAAAGAUCGUGAUUAUGUUGUUUAUUAAAUUCCUCUUGCAUUAUCUUUGAUGAAAAGUAUAUUAUCUGUCAGCAACGAUAUGUUAAUAUGGGAAAAGGAAAGUCAAAAUAUGUUAUCUCAGGCCAAUAUUCUGAAAUUAGUGAAGCCCUAUAGUAUUUACUGGAUUGAUCGCGACACUGCUCAUAUUUUUUGGUACUUUAAUAUCUGGAAUAUUUCUUUUAAUCAUGAGCCGAGGAGAUGAUGGGUUGCAGGCACGCGCCCCGUCCUUCUCUUGUUUAAGGUUUGGCGAAUGCAUUAAGUUUGGAGAGGAAACUAACAUGAAUGACCAGGCGAUCUUUUUUCUGACCUUUUUCUCCCUUUCUAAUUACUCCUCUCAUUUCCUCUAUUCUUCUUAGCCAUCUACUUUUCUAUCGCCAUAUUGAUCUCUAAACUCACUUCAUCUUUUUUCUUCCAAUUCAUCCGAUUGUUGUGUUCCAAGCACACAUGUCAUAAAGCAUCACCUCCUGCUUGUUCGAACAUGUUUGAUGUACUUACAUAUUAACAUGUUUGAUGUACUUACACAUUAACAAAACUGAUCAGUAACAUUCAUGCCGAAUUAUUUGGGUUUGGUCCUCUGCUUUUUUACUGUUUAUUUAUUGAUGAAGAUAGCAGAUGUUCAUGUUUUUAAAUAUAGUUACAUGUGUUUGUACCAAAAAAAUAUAGUUACAUGCGCUUCCAGUUGGUAGAGAUCAAAAAAUUAACUCACUGAUGCAAGGAAAAAGAGCUCUUUUAUAGACACUGCCAGCAGUGGAUACAUGGUGAGCCUUUCUGAAUGUGUUUUAUGAAAUAAGGCUAAUUUAAGGUCAUUUUUUUGUUGGAUAAAAAACAGACAGUUGGUUAUUGGGUUAUUCGUGUUUGUUCUCAAUUUCUCAUGUCGCUCUCUUCUCUGUCCAGGGAUACGGGUGCCAGGACGACACCAUCUUCUGCGUCGUCUGCCUUCCUCUCCUCCAGCGGGAGAGGCCCAUGCCUUCCUCUCCUCCUGCGUGGUGGAAGAUGGCCGCAGUUAACGGCGCUCCUGCGAGCGGGGGACACGAGUGCGGUGCAGACAGUGACCAGGUGUGACGAGACAGCCGCCGGCCGCCUGUGGGCGGUUCUUUCACGUGCUGUAGACCGUGCCAUUCUAUGACGAGGAUGUGUUCCAGGAAAUGGAAACAAAUGAAACUGGAUGCUCAUCAUGUAUUUCAUGAAGAAAUUUGCAUGUCUGGGGCAUGUCUCCGUAUAAAAGGCCGAUCUCUGCACAACAGUAGUUUCUUCAGGUUAUGGUGUCCGAUUUUUUUCAUCUCAUUUUGCCAUGCACUAGAUUACAUGGUUAAUACUGUCACUAUGCAAUAACUGGGAAGAUUAUGGAGGGAAGGGACAAUAUGUAAGAUGGGGCAAGGAGGCUGGUGUAGAUCUUGCUUCUCAUGAUGACUUCAUAUCUGAUGCAACACUUCAGAGCUACUACAAAAGCUUUUUUUAGGAAGCUACUACAAAGCUUUUUUUCGGAAGCUACGACAAAGCUUUUGUUCAGGAAAUAUGUCGAAGCACAGAAUAUAUUCCAUUUGCAGUGGACUACCAGAACAACACAACACAUAAAAAGAGGAGUAUAAGUGGAAACCUUUCUUUCUCUUUAAAUUCUUGAGGACGGUAACAUUAUGAUGAAGGUGGAACCAUAGAGAGAUGUGUAUUUUUAAUUGAGAUAUUUUCAGGAGUACCUUUGCAAAGCUGAUAUAUCUUUCUUUUACAAGAUAUGGUUGCACUUGCUUCAUCUACAUAGGCCGUCUGGAAUGCCAUGAGGCCGGGAUUGGUGUAGGAAAUCUUCAAAGCUAUUAUAUUGGUCUCCAGAAACUUGCAAUACAUCAAUGCAUUUUUAUUUUUAUUUUUUUGCUGACACCACAGCUACCACCUCUUCACUAAAUGACAGAGGUUGCCAGCAACUGCACAUGGAAAGAUUGAAUGUUAUAUUCUGUCUACUAAUCAAUAAGGAGGGAGAUCAAAUUACUGCUCUCAAAUAUUCACCUGAUUGAUUUUGAAAAUAGGGUUAAAAAUGGUGUUAUGAAUGAAGAUGGAUGGGGGUGAGGGCUGGGAGAAAGAUGUUGUAUUGCAAGAAGAAGUUGGUUAAGAAGACUGAUGAUUAUGAGAAUGAAGGACACGAACUUUUGAAUUAGACCAAUUGUUUGAUCGAUCAUUUUUGUUCUCUUGAAAACGAUGUAUGGUCAAUUUUAGUAUUCUGAUGUGAUUGAAGAAUAUAGGAGGGACAAAGAGAUGUGCUAUUGCCAGGACAAUUAUGACUCUAUUCAGGUAUUCAGUUAUGAUUCUCCAUGGUCAUGCUUCUCCUGUUCACCUGGAAGUUUAUUGAUGGGAGGGAAGCCACUUCUGCUUUGAUGAUUUCUUGAAAGUUCAGCUAGGUGAAUUUACGAUCAGUAUAUACAAGUCAGGUUGUUUGCGAGAGAAUUUCAUUCCCUAGAAUCAUUGUCAUUGUUGUUGCCUACAAGGUACUUGAAGAAAAUGCCCGAGACAUAUUUUAAGGAGUAUAAUUCAGCACUAAGGUUAUUAUUACAACGAUGAAAUCUUUGUUGUGGUAGUUAUGUCUUCAAAUGCGUCGAUCCCCAUCGGCUUACUGAAGUAAACUUUUUUUGUCGAUUUCUAUUGGCUUACUGAUAGCUUGUUUAUUCUUUUCGAAUUUUAAUUCCUUGAUCUUUGCCUCUGCCCAUCUCCAUAUCACACAGAAGGUGCUCAGUGCAAUGCAUCAUGCAGUGAUUCCAUGAUAGCUACUCCCUCCGUUCCGAAUUACUUGUCUUAG